rnacentral:rRNA from 1 species
UACGUAGGGGGCUAGCGUUGUCCGGAAUCAUUGGGCGUAAAGCGCGUGUAGGCGGCCCGGUAAGUCCGCUGUGAAAGUCGGGGGCUCAACCCUCGGAAGCCGGUGGAUACUGUCGGGCUCGAGUACGGAAGAGGCGAGUGGAAUUCCUGGUGUAGCGGUGAAAUGCGCAGAUAUCAGGAGGAACACCAAUUGCGAAGGCAGCUCGCUGGGACGUUACUGACGCUGAGACGCGAAAGCGUGGGGAGCAAACAGG